AUACGUAGGUGGCAAGCGUUGUCCGGAUUUACUGGGCGUAAAGGGAGCGUAGGCGGAUUUUAAGUGGGAUGUGAAAUACCCGGGCUUAACCUGGGUGCUGCAUUCCAAACUGGAAGUCUAGAGUACAGGAGGGGAAAGUGGAAUUCCUAGUGUAGCGGUGAAAUGCGUAGAGAUUAGGAAGAACACCGGUGGCGAAGGCGACUUUCUGGACUGUAACUGACGCUGAGGCUCGAAAGUGCGGGUAUC
rnacentral:rRNA from 1 species